rnacentral:misc_RNA from 1 species
GUGAAUAAACUUGUGUGGGUUGUUGCUGGCCUCUUCGGAGGUAUGUGCACGCCUGCCAUUGUUUCAUUCCCCUUCCACCUGUGCACUUUUUGUAGACCCAGCUGUCACUUCGGGUUGCUUGCAUCCCGGUUAUGAGGAUUUGCUCUGGCUGUCCUUGGAUGGUGGUGGUCUAUGUCUUUUAUCAACUCUGUAUGUAACCGAAUGUUUGUUCUGGGUUUUAUACCCAUAAAAUCUAUA